rnacentral:tRNA from 1 species
GCGGGUGUAGCUCAAUGGCCAGAGCCCUAGCCUUCCAAGCUAGUUAUGCGGGUUCGAUUCCCGUCACCCGCUCCG